rnacentral:tRNA from 1 species
CGCGGAGUGGCGGAAUGGCAGACGCGGCAGAUUUAGGAUCUGUUGCCAUUGGUGUGCGAGUUCGAAUCUCGUCUCCGCGA